rnacentral:ncRNA from 1 species
UUAAAAUCGUUGAAGCGAAGAGUAGAUAACGAGCGGAAAUUCAAGCGAGUCAGGAUAGUGGAAGCUGACAUGAAGCAGUUUAUUGAAGAUGAACGUGGAUGAUAUCGUGAGAUUUAAGUUGUUAAGUUUCGCGGUCGGUUAGCGCCGUUACAGUAUGAGAGCAUGUAUUAUGCUAAAUCUGGGUGGUACCACGUUUUUUACGUCCCUGUU